rnacentral:rRNA from 1 species
GGGGAAUAUUGGACAAUGGGCGAAAGCCUGAUCCAGCAACGCCGCGUGAGGGAUGACGGCCUUCGGGUUGUAAACCUCUUUCAGUUCCGACGAAGCGAAAGUGACGGUAGGAGCAGAAGAAGCACCGGCCAACUACGUGCCAGCAGCCGCGGUAAUACGUAGGGUGCGAGCGUUGUCCGGAAUUAUUGGGCGUAAAGGGCUCGUAGGCGGUUCGUCACGUCGGGAGUGAAAACUCAGGGCUUAACUCUGAGCUUGCUUCCGAUACGGGCUGACUAGAGGUAUGCAGGGGAGAACGGAAUUCCUGGUGUAGCGGUGAAAUGCGCAGAUAUCAGGAGGAACACCGGUGGCGAAGGCGGUUCUCUGGGCAUUACCUGACGCUGAGGAGCGAAAGUGUGGGGAGCGAAC